GCGUCAUCACCUCGUUAUUUCGCGUUUGGAGAUUCAAAUUCGAUUCGUUUCUUGUGUGGAAUCCCGUAGGUGUUUUGGAGAUUGUGAGCAUGCUUACUAGUAGAGUCGCAUGUUGCAUCCAUUGUGCGAGUUUUUGGUUUUCUUCAAGGAUUCCCAAAAGGUUGUUGCUGCGGUAGACGGUGGUGGUUGUAAAUCCUAGAAUCUACGGUGAUGGUGGUUGCUACGGUGGAUGGUGGUGAUGUUCUUA
rnacentral:lncRNA from 1 species